AAGUCCCUGUGUGUUGUCUGUGAUCUCUGCAAAUUCAACUGAUAGUUUCCAAGUGAAGCAAUUGCUGUCCAGCUGUCUUUUAAAGUAACUUAAACAAUCCAGGACAACCAGAUUGUGAGCCCCUACCCAGCUGCUCACUGGCUAUGUGACCUUGAGAAAGCCACUCAACCCCUUUGCACACCAGACUUUUCAUCCACUCAACUAAGGGUUUAGACACAUCUUAAUCAUUCCUUUCUGCAGUUGACCUGGAAAUAAACUCACACGUGGAACCUCAAUAGCAUUGGUCUCAUGUGAGGGUACUGUCAGCAAAAGUAAAAGUCAUAACAUUCAAGGUUCUUCAAGCAAAUCAUCCACAGAAAGAUUCAUCCAAACAGAAGGAGAGCUCAACCUAGAAUUUUGGACCACUUUGAGGGUCCCCACUAACUGCUCUUGCACUCCAGUUAACAAGCAAGAAUCACAACUCUAUUUCACUUAAACUUCAUAGUAACUUUAUUAUUAUCGAAUAAUUGAUAUGGCUUGAUUUAUGGAUGAAGAGGAAAAGUCUUAGAGUUACUUCUGACAAAUGUUCUAGUCUUUGGAAGAUCUGCAGAUGACUCCCCGUGAGUGAAUGUCUUGUUGGCUGGGCUCACCUGCCCACAGGUGUGGUGUGUGGGCAUCUCAAGCCUAAGAGCAGAGAUCUGAUGCCCAUGGCUGUGCCUCCUGGAGAUUUGCCUGGCAUCUCAUUAUACAAUCGGAAGAAAGUCAUUAGGCCUCAGUUAUCUUCAACUAGGACAAAGAUGAAGAUUCCUAUCUAUUUAAUUCAAUGGCAUUGGUUCUCAAAUAUUCAAUGUAAGUCUCAGACCUUCAGGAAGAUGUCCCAAGACCCAUGAUGAACAAUGCCUUAUGUCCAGCGUUCUCCCUCUAAUUAAUUCCAGAGUUCCUUAUACGCUGGAGAAAAUGACAAACCCAAGAAGGUGACAAAGAAGAAAAACAAGAAAAUUAAAAGGAGGAAGAGGAAGAAAAAAAAAGAUGAGAGUGGAAGGAGAGGAGGGAAACAGAAGAAAGAAUCAUGGAGGAGAUAAAGCAUUGCCAUGUUUUCUGUGGCAAUAUUUACCUGUACUGUCAUGAUCCCAUGUUGGAGGGAUUGGUUCCAGGACCCCUGCGAACCCCAAAUCCACAGAUACUUACGCCCCUCACAUAAAAUGGCAUAGUAUUUGCAUACAACCUACACCCAUUCUCCUGUGCACUUUAAAUCAAAUGUAGAUGAUUAUAAUAUGUGAUAAAAUGUAAGUACUAUGUAAAUAGUUGCUAUACUAUAUUAUUUAGAUAAUUAUGACAACCAAAGAACACCUUAGCAAUUUAUUACAGAUGCAGUUUUUUUUUCCUGAAUAUUUUCCACCUACAGUUGGUUUAAUCCUUGAUGCAAAAGCUAUAGAUGGGACAAGUUAAACGUAGAUGCUUCCCUUUUACAGUUACUACACAGAAUGUUUUUUAAUAUUCCAUUCUGAGAUGUUCAGAGUAUUUUUCUAAACACCUGAGCUAUGCCAAGGAGAAAGAAUAGUUCCAGAAUUGAGUUUAACUGUCUAGAGGGUGUACUAUCUGGAACAACGAAUGAAUCUGCCAAAGAAAGGGAUCCUGUUUAUACACUGCAAGCUCAAGAGGUCAGCUUUGGACAAUUUAAAAUAACUGCCUAAUCCUUGUCACAGACAUUGAGUACUCAGAAAUAUUGAGGUCUAUUUUUUAACAUGUCUGAAUUUAUUUUGCUUUUGAAUUUUUAUUUUAGCAAACAGCUAUUUUUUUUUAUUUUAACAAACAGCAAACGUUAAA